GCCACAAGGGAAAUCAAAUAAGAAACAACUUAACAGAGCAACCCAGGAACCAUGGCCUAAAUAAAGAAAUACAAAAAUACACGAGAACCAAGAAUGCUGGGCCAACAUGGCCCAGGAUCAUGACAGGUCCAUCAUCUGCCUGAGGGCGAUGCUGUCACUCUGCAUUGCAUAUAUAGGGAGACUUCUUUUUCCAACCUCACAGCUAAAUUUUAUAAAGAUAACCUCCUCAUUGGGCACAGCUCCACAGGAGUCAUGACUAUCCCAAAGAUUUCAAAGUCUGAUGAAGGUUCCUACAAAUGUAAUGUCUCUGGUACUGGAGAAUCAACAUACAGCUGGCUGUCUGUCAGAGGUGGGCAACCUGAACCUUUUCACUCCCCUCUACUGCAUGACUCACUUCCUGUAUUGAGGGUUUCCGUCUCUCUGGCUGUGGUGAUGGUGCUGCUGCUGUGACUACAGCAGCCACAAAGAUCAGUUUGUUUCUCAAACAUUUGAUGAAUUUAUUUUGAAAUAAAAUUAAAGAAAUUCUAA